rnacentral:rRNA from 1 species
UACGUAGGGCGCAAGCGUUGUCCGGAAUUAUUGGGCGUAAAGAGCGUGUAGGCGGCCAGGUAGGUCUGGUGUGAAAACUCGAGGCUUAACCUCGAGAUGUCAUCGGAAACCAUCUGGCUAGAGUCCGGAAGAGGAGAGUGGAAUUCCUGGUGUAGCGGUGAAAUGCGCAGAUAUCAGGAAGAACACCAAUGGCGAAAGCAGCCCUCUGGGACGGUACUGACGCUGAGACGCGAAAGCGUGGGGAGCGAACAGG